ACGAGCGAGCACCUGCAUCCAAACAUCACCCCCCUCCCCUCCCCCCCGGGCAGGUAAACUACGCCAGGUGUGACCCAGGUAUACCCACGACCCCUGAUGCAACUCUCUCACACGUCACAGCUUCUCCCUACAGUGGAGGUGUUACGGGCGCCAGAGAUCAGGUUGGCCGGAGCAUCACUACUGCCUCCUGACCUCAAGACGACGACCACUAACCAGGGACUUAUCGCCGUGCUUCAGUGGAUGACGCUGCAGUCUCUCGUAGUACAGAGUGGGACAGGAGUGUUACGAAUCUGUUGUUCAUGACCACGAGAGAACACACCUGUUUACCGCAGCGCCUGACUCGCCUUCUCUCGUUACUGUGUCCACCAGUUUGUGAUAUGCAGCAGCCAAUCAGUUGCCGAAGCUCCCUUACUGAAGCGCCGCGACACGGCCAAAACAAGAGCUACGGAGCAAAACAUCUAGCUGAUUCUGUCGAUUCUGUAAGUAAAGUCCCCUCCA